GGCGGCGUGCCUAACACAUGCAAGCGAGCGGAGAAUGCGAUAUGUUACAUGGAAGUAUUCUAGCGGCGGACGGGUGAGUAACACGUGGGUAACCUGCCUCAAAGAGGGGGAUAGCCUUACCGAAAGGAAGAUUAAUACCGCAUAAGCCUGCAGUACCGCAUGGUACAGCAAGGAAAAGGAGCAAUCCGCUUUGAGAUCGGACCCGCGGCGCAUUAGCUAGUUGGUGAGGUAACGGCUCACCAAGGCGACGAUGCGUAGCCGACCUGAGAGGGUGAUCGGCCACAUUGGAACUGAGACACGGUCCAGACUCCUACGGGAGGCAGCAGUGGGGAAUAUUGCACAAUGGGCGAAAGCCUGAUUGCAGCAACGCCGCGUGAAUGAUGAAGGCCUUCGGGUCGUAAAGUUCUUUGAUCAGGGAUGAUAAUGACAGUACCUGAAAAACAAGCCACGGCUAACUACGUGCCAGCCGCCGC
rnacentral:rRNA from 1 species